ACCAGGUGUCUGCAAACAGUUCUUUGAGCACCCAGUACUGAGGUCAUCAACUAUUUUGGCGAGACCUUGAUUGUUACCAGUCCUGAGCAGAACCUUGGGUACCUCAUUAUCUGCCUGAGAGAGGACUUAGGUGCAACAGCCAGGAUGAAGGAGGAGGUUGGAGGGGAGCACACCAUUACACAGAGCCUAUUUCUAGACCUCCAUCUACUGAGCCAGAGGGACACAGAAGACUUCAUUGAAAAUGAAACAAAAUAAAACAAGUAACAACUUGAAGGAAAAAUGGCAGCGAAUUCAAAUGGUCACUGCAAAAUGAGGAUGAGCCUACCUGCUUUUGUUUACUGAUACAGUUUUGUGGAGCAUCUCAAUAGAAAUAAGAAGCCUACAGCUAGUCCUUCCUUUUUCCAAAUGGUUUGAAUCCCAUUUUCCCAAAGAACAGCACUGAUCCUAUUUCUGUUUAUCCAGAUGUUGCUUUUUUACUUGCUUCAGUUAAUCAGUGUACUCGUAUGCCCGGUUCCUACUUCAUGCUAUAUGUGUUUCCUUUAAAUCUGUACUUGAUAACUUGGCAUUCUGGUAUUUAAAGAACUUUGAGCUCAUUUGACAAAUUAUCAAGCAAGAUAAUAUGAUUAAAGGGGAACUUUAGUUAAUGAGUUUAUAACCUGUAAGGGAAAUCUAGAAAACAAAAUUGGCCACAAGCGCUCGCAUUCAGCAGUAGUAACAAGGCAAUGUUUCUGAAAGAAAUCUUUGUUCCCUUACAUGAUAUUCUUCUGUUCCUGGCACUCCCACUUCCAAUCAAUUUAACCUACUCUCCAGAUAGCCCCUCUUACCUGACACACUGAAUCAUUCCUCUGACAAAUGUUACCAUUGCUAAGCAGUUUCAAUUUGAGUUUUUCUUUUAAUAUGCAAAUAAGUAGAAGUCAAGAUUCAUAGCCCACAGAACUGGGCCAAACCGACCCAUAAACUGUCAACACCCCCAUCUCCCCUCCCUUUUUCAGGCUGGUGUGCCUGUGGGCCUGCUGUCCCCCUGUCAUGGACACAGAUAGAUCUAGAGAUAACUCUGUGACAUUUAAAUAGUAAGAUGUCAGCAAGUAAGAAGAAGACAACUAAGAAGUACUUACACCUCUUUUCAGUUGAUGGCGUGGAUGCAAGGAGUGAGUGCAAGUACUCUUACUAAUACUCACUGAAUCAGUCUUAGAAGGCAAAGAAGAAACUGUUUUUUCUUUAGAAUCAUAGAAUCACAGAAUCACCAAGGUUGGAAAAAACCUCCAAGAUCCUCCAGUCAAACCGUUCACCGAUCACCAAUAUUUCCCACUAAGCCAUGUCAAUCAGUACAACAUCUAAAUGCUCCUUGAACACCUCCAGGGUCGGUGACUCAACCACCUCCCUGAGCAGCCUGUUCCAGCGCCUGACUACUCUCUCAGAGAAGAAGUAUUUCCUAACAUCCAACCUGAAUCACCCUGGAACAACUUCAGGCAAUUCCCUCUUGUUCUAUUGCUAGUUUCAUGGAAGAAGAGGCUGACUCCCACCUCACCACAGGCUCCCUUCAGGCAGCUGUAGAGAGCAAUAAGGUCUCCCCUGAGCCUCCUCUUCUCCAGACUGAACUAU